GAUGAACACUAGCGGCAGGCUUAACACAUGCAAGUCGAGGGGUAGAGGCUUUCGGGCCUUGAGACCGGCGCACGGGUGCGUAACGCGUAUGCAAUCUGCCUUGUACUGGGGGAUAGCCCAGAGAAAUUUGGAUUAAUACCCCAUAGUAUUUUCGGUUGGCAUCAACUGAUUAUUAAAGUUUUUCGGUACAAGAUGAGCAUGCGUCCCAUUAGCUAGUUGGUAUGGUAACGGCAUACCAAGGCUACGAUGGGUAGGGGUCCUGAGAGGGAGAUCCCCCACACUGGUACUGAGACACGGACCAGACUCCUACGGGAGGCAGCAGUGAGGAAUAUUGGUCAAUGGUCGCAAGACUGAACCAGCCAUGCCGCGUGCAGGAUUAAGGUCCUCUGGAUUGUAAACUUCUUUUAUUUGGGACGAAAAAGGGUCUUUCUAGACCAACUGACGGUACCAGAUGAAUAAGCACCGGCUAACUCCGUGCCAGCCGCCGCUGUAAUAC
rnacentral:rRNA from 1 species